UGUCCGCAGGCCGGCCGGCACCUGGGCUGGGCUGGGCGAGUAUCUCUUCGAAAGGCUCACCCUCAAGCAGACUAGGAGU
rnacentral:pre_miRNA from 1 species